rnacentral:rRNA from 1 species
GAUGAACGCUAGCUACAGGCUUAACACAUGCAAGUCGAGGGGAAACGAUAUUGGAAGCUUGCUUCCGAUAGGCGUCGACCGGCGCACGGGUGAGUAACGCGUAUCCAACCUGCCCAUCACUUGGGAAUAACCUUGCGAAAGUAAGACUAAUGCCCAAUGAUAUUUAUAGAAGGCAUCGGAAAUGAAUUAAAGAUUUAUCGGUGAUGGAUGGGGAUGCGUCUGAUUAGCUUGUUGGCGGGGUAACGGCCCACCAAGGCGACGAUCAGUAGGGGUUCUGAGAGGAAGGUCCCCCACAUUGGAACUGAGACACGGUCCAAACUCCUACGGGAGGCAGCAGUGAGGAAUAUUGGUCAAUGGGCGAGAGCCUGAACCAGCCAAGUAGCGUGCAGGAUGACGGCCCUAUGGGUUGUAAACUGCUUUUAUAGGGGAAUAAAGUGAGCUACGUGUAGUUUUUUGCAUGUACCUAUGAAUAAGACGGCUAAUUCCGUGCCAGCAGCCGACGG